GCCUUUGCCUUUAUGGAUAAAAUAAUGAGGGCCGAGCCCAAGGCCGAGACGCUAAAAGCGAGACGCGACGGAUCAUAAUAACAAAACUACUUUUGUGUCAUAUUUUAAAUUAUUUUUAGUUUCUUUUCUACAUAAUUUUGUGAAGACUGGUGACGAUGUUGUGAAUGUAAAAAUUGCCUCCACAGUGUUGAAAAAGAAAAUUAAUCUGCACCAAACUGGUAACACAAAGUAAUAUUAAACUUUGACAUGGACCGUCCCAGACGCAGCGGAAGAGGCGUGGAAAAAUCUUUGAAGACAGAAAAAGAUUUAAAAACAGAAUUUAUUCCUGUGAAUAAAGUAUUUCGCAUGCGUGUUAUAAAAUCGGAUAAAUUAACAAAGCCUGAUUGUGAUGGAAAUCGUGCUGGAUCCCCCGGAGAAGGAAAGAGUGUAAAACAUAUUUCGGCGAAAAUAUUUGAAAGGCCCAUGCAGAGCCAAUUGGGAGAACAAAUGACAAGACCGUAAAACUAGAAAUUAAAUCGGAAGAAAUUUUAAGUCCUCAACCAGCAACAUCAUCAAAAGAAGUCAAAACACUUCAGCGAUUCAGUGGCCCUGUUGUAUCUGUGCCCAUCAGACCAGUUCCUCGGCUUUGUCUUAAAAAUUUCACCUGUGAAAUUUGCAAAAAAGGAGUGGGCACAAAGGGUGGCUUGAAAUACCACAUCCAGGCGCAUCUUUCUGGCCGACCCUUCAAAUGUGAAAUUUGCAAAAGAUCGUACGCGACGAAAAAUGAUUUUGACACUCACAACAAAAGGCACUUAGGUAAAAAUGUUAGUUGUGAUUUUUGCAACAAGACAUUUCCCGUCAAGUCGUACUUGGCUGAUCAUAUUACUUUCACUCAUUUGCCCAAAGAAUUUGUCUGCCAAAUUUGUAAAAGACCUAUAUCCUUUCAUCGAAAAUGUCAGUUAGAAAAGCAUUUGAAUUAUAUGCAUUCAUUUGAAAAUAUGUUGAGGUGCAAACUUUGUAGCAGGACAUUCAAGUCAAAGCAACACUACGAAAAUCAUUGUAAACAGAGAGAAAUUUUGAAGUACGAAUGCAAAAAGUGUGGCAAAAAAUUUCCCUGUUUUAAAUUACUACUAAAUCACCUUCGGGAGGAAAGCAGAAACGCUGAAUGCAAAAUUUGUAAGAUGAAAGUAAAAAACCUUUACAAACACAAUCGAAGGCAUCACAUAUUUGUAAAUUGUGACCUUUGCCCUUUUAAUGGAAAGCCGCAGGAUGUGAUUUUUCACAAAGCGGGGUGUGGAACUAAAGAGCAAAUCGAGGGUCUUGGAAUAUUUUGCGAUUUGUGCAAAAUGCAUUUCCGAAGUGCAUAUGACCUAAACCUUCACAAACGACGCAUACAUGGGAAAUUCAAAUGUCCAAAGUGUCCUGAAAAGUUCUUGAACAAAUGCCUUCUCUUAAAACAUACAAAAGAUGUUCACACAAGGCCUUAUGUUUGCGUUUCUUGUCCUCGCCCAAAGUUCUUUUCAAACAGGAAUUAUUUUGAUACGCAUUUUUACCGUCAUCACAAAUUUCCCAUGAAAAAUGUUAUCCCUAAAACUGUUAAUAAGGUUCGAUUUGGAUGUGAAAGGUGUCAAAAGAUUAUUACAAAAAUUGAUACAAUGAAUGGGCUGAGAAACCACAUCAUUAGGUGCUAUAGAAUAAGGCGCAGGCAAGUUAAUUCAUGAUUUGGUUGGUGUGUAAAAUAUAUAUUUUUUUUUUAAUUAUGACUUUGUUUCUCACAUAGCUCUUGACGGUAAUUAUAACAGGAGUAAAAUAUUUGUAAUUUUUUUUUAAGCUGAUCAAAUAGCUGUCUUCGAAAACCUAACCUCCUCUAAUGCAUCUUUUCAAACUCUCUCAUUUUGAGUCUUGUAUUGUUGAUUUCUUGGGAAAACUUAAAUUGUUGAUUUUGUUAGACUUACAUUAUUUGAUUUGCAUUUUUCUCUUUAUCGAUAUCUAAUAAAUAACAAUUAGAAAGGGAUUAUAAUUUUACAUGGUGGAGAUUAUAAAGAACAAUCUACUGGCCACAUGCAACUGAUAAUAGUUAAUAGUGAUAAUUUGCAAAGAUGAAACUAAAAUUAUUCUAAAAUAUUUAUGUGGAAAAUAUCCUUUUUGUGAAUAUUGCAUAACAAAAGAAUAAAAGUUAUUUCAAGUCAGUUUUUUUUAAAUGGUAAAAUAAAUCAUUUUGUUGUCUCUAAUUUCUUUUCUUUGUCAUUUCUUGAGAAUUUAAAACCCAAAGAAACCACUCAGAAGGGGAAAUAAUUAUAUUUUAGUAACUUUUUACUAAACGUGGAAUAACGUUCCAAGACACGAGAUACUGACAAUGAGACGAAACCAGUGUAAUAAAGUUUGAAAAAUUCCUGUUGUGAUAAUAAAAAUAUAUUAAUUAGGGCGAAUUUCCCAAAAUUAACACUUUUUAAAACCACCCCAAUCUGUUGGUGUUGGUAUGUGUUUUGUGCUGGACAGCUCUUUUGGCUAUUGAAGCUUCAUCAGCAGCACUUUGCCUAGCAAAACAAGUUCCGUAGAAUGUGACAUUUACUUUGUGAAGAAAAGGAAGAAACGAGGGGGUGAUUUGCUGGUGAAGGCCGCGAGCUCUCUCUUUUUUGUCCUCUGCAGGUUGCCAAGAGGCAGCUCGUAUUUGUGCGCCAAGCAAAGCAACAUCUCCUCGCAGCUCGCUCGCUGUGGGUGGAAUAUGCUUGGCAAAGUGCUGCUGAUGAAGCUUCAAUAGCCGAAACACCUCUCCAGCACAAAACACAUACGGGCAGAUUCGGGUGGUUGUAAAAAGUCUUAAUUUUGGGAAGUUUUCGCCCUCAAUUAAUAUUUUUAUCACAACAGGAAUUUUUCAAACUUUUUUACACUGGUUUUGUCUCAGUAUCUCGCGUCGAACAUUAUAAUUCCACUUUAAAGGCGUUUAGUCAAAAGUUACUAAUUUAAUCUCCUUGUCAAGUGAAGAAUCAAUUAAUAUUAAUAAGGUUUCCAUUAAAUACAGAAAUA